rnacentral:misc_RNA from 1 species
GGCAAAUGCCUUGAAUUCCACAGCAUAAGAUGCCUCAUAAAACAAGCUCUAUAGAAUCAUCAAAAAACAACGAGAACAAGACACUAGAUUUAGAACAAUUGAAAUUGACUAUAGUGAUUCAAUACAAAGUUCAAACUGACAGUCAUUUGAACAAUCAUUUUAGUGCAGGUUAAAUUUUAUCUGUGCAGAUGUAUAAGAAAAUCAUACCAUUUCUAAAUUAAAUGAUUCCUACACACCCUUAAAAUAGGCAGAAAAAAUAUCAAGAGCUAACAAUCUUAUGCAAGCUAAACGUUUGGAAAUUACUUUUGAAAUUUGUUCAACUGUUGCACACCAGUCUCUUUUCAUCUAACAAGUCACCCAACCAUUACUAGAACAUUUUAAAGACAUUUGAAAGAGGGCUCCUUUUAGGUUCUCCUCCACCAAAGAUUGAAUCAACACAAAUUGAAGAAACUUCAAGUUUCAAAAAUGUUGGCAUCAACCACAAGUAAUUCAGGAAGUUCAUUUUCAAAAUUGUCAUCUUUUUCCCUUUUCUUUUGGCCAGAAACAGACUAUCAGGGCAAAAUGAAUGAUUAAAAGUAAACUUUGAGAACAGUUAAUUAUCCAAUUUUACCCAGAAAGGAAAAAUACAAUGGUAAUGAAAGAAAAGGAUAUUACCUAAAGACUAAUCGUUAAAUUCAGAUAUGAGAGACAAGGCACGUAAACAAACAAGAAUUCCCAACUACUUGGGAACCAGCUUGGACUAUAUUAAACCUUAUGAUCUUUCUAGUUUCUAUUUGUUUAAUCUAAAAUCCAGCAUAAUUAAGUCAAAUUCAAAUCCUAUUGGCAAAGAAAGCAAAAGAGCAACUCCAGUUGUUGAAUUAUCUAAUAGUAAAAUUAUAUAAGCUAAAGUUUUCGUAUAAUACGGACCAUGAUUAUGCAUAAAGACACAAAAUUUCGCACAUAUUUCUUGAGAUGUUAAUAACAAGAAAGAACGCAACGGGGUCAUUUCCAACCUGCUGCAUUGUUGACAAAAC